GAUGAACGCUGGCGGCGUGCCUAAUACAUGCAAGUCGAGCAAACGGACGAGAAGCUUGCUUCUCUGAUGUUAGCGGCGGACGGGUGAGUAACACGUGGAUAACCUACCUAUAAGACUGGGAUAACUUCGGGAAACCGUAGCUAAUACCGGAUAAUAUUUUGAACCGCAUGGUUCAAAAGUGAAAGACGGUCUUGCUGUCACUUAUAGAUGGAUCCGCGCUGCAUUAGCUAGUUGGUAAGGUAACGGCUUACCAAGGCAACGAUGCAUAGCCGACCUGAGAGGGUGAUCGGCCACACUGGAACUGAGACACGGUCCAGACUCCUACGGGAGGCAGCAGUAGGGAAUCUUCCGCAAUGGGCGAAAGCCUGACGGAGCAACGCCGCGUGAGUGAUGAAGGUCUUCGGAUCGUAAAACUCUGUUAUUAUGGAAGAACAUAUGUGUAAGUAACUGUGCACAUCUUGACGGUACCUAAUCAGAAAGCCACGGCUAACUACGUG
rnacentral:rRNA from 1 species